rnacentral:rRNA from 1 species
UGACGGUGCAACGCCGCGUGAGUGAUGAAGGUUUUCGGAUCGUAAAGCUCUGUUAUCUGGGAAGAACAAGUACCGGUCGAAUAGGCCGGUACCUUGACGGUACCCGAUCAGAAAGCCCCGGCUAACUACGUGCCAGCAGCCGCGGUAAUACGUAGGGGGCAAGCGUUGUCCGGAAUUAUUGGGCGUAAAGGGCGCGCAGGCGGUUUCCUAAGUCUGAUGUGAAAGCCCACGGCUCAACCGUGGAGGGUCAUUGGAAACUGGGGAACUUGAGUACAGGAGAGGAGAGCGGAAUUCCACGUGUAGCGGUGAAAUGCGUAGAGAUGUGGAGGAACACCAGUGGCGAAGGCGGCUCUCUGGCCUGUAACUGACGCUGAGGCGCGAAAGCGUGGGGAGCGAACAGGAUUAGAUACCCUGGUAGUCCACGCCGUAAACGUUGAGUGCUAGGUGUUAGGGGUUUCGACGCCCUUAGUGCCGCAGCAAACGCAUUAAGCACUCCGCCUGGGGAGUACGACCGCAAGGUUGAAACUCAAAGGAAUUGACGGGGGCCCGCACAAGCGGUGGAGCAUGUGGUUUAAUUCGACGCAACGCGAAGAACCUUACCAGGUCUUGACAUCUUCUGCUGCUUCCAGAGAUGGAAGGUUCCCCUUCGGGGGACAGAAUGACAGGUGGUGCAUGGUUGUCGUCAGCUCGUGUCGUGAGAUGUUGGGUUAAGUCCCGCAACGAGCGCAACCCUUAACCUUAGUUGCCAGCAUUCAGUUGGGCACUCUAGGGUGACUGCCGGUGACAAACCGGAGGAAGGUGGGGAUGACGUCAAAUCAUCAUGCCCCUUAUGACCUGGGCUACACACGUGCUACAAUGGAUGGUACAGAGGGACGCGAAGCCGCGAGGUGAAGCGAAUCUCAAAAAGCCAUUCUCAGUUCGGAUUGCACGCUGCAACUCGCCUGCAUGA